rnacentral:tRNA from 1 species
UGCGGGUUCGUCUAAUGGUAGGACGUUGCCCUCUGGAGGCAAAUAUUGGGGUUCGAGUCCCUGACCCGCAG